UUGCACGCUGGCGGCAUGCCUUACACAUGCCAGUCGAACGGCAGCAUGAUCUAGCUUGCUAGAUUGAUGGCGAGUGGCGAACGGGUGAGUAAUACAUCGGAACGUGCCCUGUAGUGGGGGAUAACUAGUCGAAAGAUUAGCUAAUACCGCAUACGACCUGAGGGUGAAAGUGGGGGACCGCAAGGCCUCAUGCUAUAGGAGCGGCCGAUGUCUGAUUAGCUAGUUGGUGAGGUAAAGGCUCACCAAGGCGACGAUCAGUAGCUGGUCUGAGAGGACGAUCAGCCACACUGGGACUGAGACACGGCCCAGACUCCUACGGGAGGCAGCAAUGGGGAAUUUUGGACAAUGGGCGAAAGCCUGAUCCAGCAAUGCCGCGUGUGUGAAGAAGGCCUUCGGGUUGUAAAGCACUUUUGUCCGGAAAGAAAUGGCUCUGGUUAAUACCUGGGGUCGAUGACGGUACCGGAAGAAUAAGGACCGGCUAACUACGUG
rnacentral:rRNA from 1 species